GACGUGGUGCGGGGGACUGUCUUCAAGACCGGUGACGAUCCGUGG
rnacentral:tRNA from 14 species